ensembl:snRNA U6 U6 spliceosomal RNA
GUGCUUGCUUUAGUAGCACAGGUACUAAAACUGGAAUAAGAGAAGAUUAGCAUGGCCUCUGGGCAAGGAUGUAACCACAGUUUUUACAGAUUUUCAAGUAUAAU